rnacentral:rRNA from 1 species
AGUGAACGCUGGCGGUAGGCCUAACACAUGCAAGUCGAACGGCAGCACAGUAAGAGCUUGCUCUUACGGGUGGCGAGUGGCGGACGGGUGAGGAAUACAUCGGAAUCUACUUUUUCGUGGGGGAUAACGUAGGGAAACUUACGCUAAUACCGCAUACGGCCUACGGGUGAAAGCAGGGGAUCUUCGGACCUUGCGCGAUUGAAUGAGCCGAUGUCGGAUUAGCUAGUUGGCGGGGUAAAGGCCCACCAAGGCGACGAUCCGUAGCUGGUCUGGGAGGAUGAUCAGCCACACUGGAACUGAGACACGGUCCAGACUCCUACGGGAGGCAGCAGUGGGGAAUAUUGGACAAUGGGCGCAAGCCUGAUCCAGCCAUACCGCGUGGGUGAAGAAGGCCUUCGGGUUGUAAAGCCCUUUUGUUGGGAAAGAAAAGCAGCAGGUUAAUACCCCGCUGUUCUGACGGUACCCAAAGAAUAAGCACCGGCUAACUUCGUG